CCUGCCCAGGUGAAUUGCAGCUGGAAGUCACUGUUUCUUGGUUAAAGUGGCUCCUACCCAGGAUCACAAGCUCUCAUCCCGGCAGGGAGUGCUGCCCUCCCUGCAUCCCUAAAAAGGGGAACUUCACCAGGGUGAAGCUGGUGGGGAGAGGAGGGCACAUGUGGGCUGAGUACCAGCACCCUUCUGCAUUUUUGGUCCCUUAGGAAGAAAAGAAACAAACUCAUUAAAUUUACAUGUUUUAGUUACCUUUCUUCUGCACCCUCUUCUUACUGUCCCUUACCUUCAUUUCAGCAAAAUAGUAAUAAUAAUAAUAAUAAUAAUAAUAAUACCAAAGUACCUAUCAGAAUCCCUUUGCUACUUUUACUGCAAAUAAUAAUGCAAAAACUUCAUAUCAGCUUUGCUUUUGCAUUACUUUAUUUAUACCCGUGAACCUAUAUUCUGAGCCCUGUUUUUGUGCAGAUACUCACCAUUGUCUCUCCACAGGCCUUUUCCCAUAUGCCUGGCUCUGGGCUGUGUCACCUCUGGCAAUGGGAAAUUACUGCUCUUCCCUGCCGUGGGAGAAGGAGAAGGUUGCUUAAAACAAUUUUGAAUUACGCAGUCAAGAAGUGUUUCUGCUAGAGGAACAUGUUCAGAACGUUCAGCUGUGACUCGCUCCUGUAGUUCCACAAAUGCAGCAUUCAGUUUAAUAUGUGAGACUCAUAACCAGCUCACACAGUGCAAUAGUUCACUUCAGUUUGAAGAAAAAAAAAAUUCUGCUGGAAGCACAGGAAGGCACCAUCAGCCUUGAGAUUUCUCUUUUCAGUACCAGGCAUUUAAAGAGUGCAGAGUUAUUUUCCCCAAAGCCAGGGGACACCAAAGAGGAGUAUGAUCCCUUCACACACCCAUCUUCUAUUUACAAAGAGAAGAAUGGAGCUGAGCUGAGCUGCAUUACAUCCAAUAUGCUGCCUACACAAAUGCCAGAGAAGCUAAAUGAACCCCAGAACAUAUGGCACUCUGCUGACAGAGCUCCGAAACUGGUUCUGCAUGAGCAACAAGGAACAUCUUGAAGCGCACAAGACAUAUGUGUUUUAGGAAGAAGAUUGAAGUGUUUCAUAAUAAAACAGGAC
rnacentral:lncRNA from 1 species